CGGAACGUACCAUUCAGUGGGGGAUAACGUAGCGAAAGUUACGCUAAUACCGCAUAUUCUGUGAGCAGGAAAGCAGGGGAUCGCAAGACCUUGCGCUGAUUGAGCGGCCGAUAUCAGAUUAGCUUGUUGGUGAGGUAAAAGCUCACCAAGGCGACGAUCUGUAGCGGGUCUGAGAGGAUGAUCCGCCACACUGGAACUGAGACACGGUCCAGACUCCUACGGGAGGCAGCAGUGGGGAAUUUUGGACAAUGGGGGCAACCCUGAUCCAGCCAUGCCGCGUGAGUGAAGAAGGCCUUCGGGUUGUAAAGCUCUUUCAGCCGGGAAGAAAACGCAUGGGUUAAUACCCUGUGUGGAUGACGGUACCGGAAUAAGAAGCACCGGCUAACUACGUGCCAGCAGCCGCGGUAAUACGUAGGGUGCGAGCGUUAAUCGGAAUUACUGGGCGUAAAGCGUGCGCAGGCGGUUUUGUAAGACAGGCGUGAAAUCCCCGGGCUUAACCUGGGAACUGCGUUUGUGACUGCAAGGCUAGAGUACGGCAGAGGGGGGUGGAAUUCCACGUGUAGCAGUGAAAUGCGUAGAGAUGUGGAGGAACACCAAUGGCGAAGGCAGCCCCCUGGGUCGAUACUGACGCUCAUGCACGAAAGCGUGGGUAGCAAACAGGAUUAGAUACCCUGGUAGUCCACGCCCUAAACGAUGUCAACUAGGCGUUGGGAGGGUAAAACCUUUUAGUACCGUAGCUAACGCGAGAAGUUGACCGCCUGGGGAGUACGGCCGCAAGGUUAAAACUCAAAGGAAUUGGCGGGGACCCGCACAAGCGGUGGAUGAUGUGGAUUAAUUCGAUGCAACGCGAAAAACCUUACCUACCCUUGACAUGUCAGGAACUUGCCAGAGAUGGCUUGGUGCCCGAAAGGGAACCUGAACACAGGUGCUGCAUGGCUGUCGUCAGCUCGUGUCGUGAGAUGUUGGGUUAAGUCCCGCAACGAGCGCAACCCUUGUCGUUAAUUGCCAUCAUUUAGUUGGGCACUUUAACGAGACUGCCGGUGACAAACCGGAGGAAGGUGGGGAUGACGUCAAGUCCUCAUGGCCCUUAUGGGUAGGGCUUCACACGUCAUACAAUGGUCGGUACAAAGGGUCGCCAACCCGCGAGGGGGAGCCAAUCCCAGAAAGCCGAUCGUAGUCCGGAUUGCAGGCUGCAACUCGCCUGCAUGAAGUCGGAAUCGCUAGUAAUCGUGGAUCAGCAUGUCACGGUGAAUACGUUCCCGGGUCUUGUACACACCGCCCGUCACACCAUGGGAGCGGGUUCCGCCAGAAGUAGGUAGCCUAACC
rnacentral:rRNA from 1 species